rnacentral:rRNA from 1 species
GACGAACGCUGGCGGCGUGCUUAACACAUGCAAGUCGAACGGAAAGGCCCUGCUUGCAGGGUACUCGAGUGGCGAACGGGUGAGUAACACGUGGGUGAUCUGCCCUGCACUUCGGGAUAAGCCUGGGAAACUGGGUCUAAUACCGGAUAGGAGCCAUAUUUAGUGUGAUGGUUGGAAAGUUUUUUCGGUGUAGGAUGAGCUCGCGGCCUAUCAGCUUGUUGGUAGGGUAAUGGCCUACCAAGGCGGCGACGGGUAGCCGGCCUGAGAGGGUGGACGGCCACAAUGGGACUGGGAUACGGCCCAGACUCCUGCGGGAGGCAGCAGGGGGGAAUAUUGAACAAUGGGCGCAAGCCUGAUGCAGCGACGCCGCGUGGGGGAUGACGGCCUUCGGGUUGUAAACUCCUUUCGCUAGGGACGAAGCUUUUUGUGACGGUACCUAGAUAAGAAGGACCGGCUAACUACGUU